rnacentral:lncRNA from 1 species
GAGGGGAACGGACACCGUCGUUGCCCCGUGCCCAUAGACUUCUCUUCUACAAUGCAAGGUUCAUUUUCAUCUUAAACAUUCACAUGAAAAAUAAUAGAGCUACUCCGUACACAUUGCGCGUUGGUGUCAAAACAUGUUAUACUAAUUAGUAUGUUUAGAAACUAUGUUCCAAACUGACCUUAGAGGAGACUGGGAUAUACUGAUAGAGUGUUGUGUUGUGUGCUGUUAGUUCAGAAAAGUUCAGGGAAAAAACAAAUACUCUUCAUGGGUUAUGAAGUAGAUAGAGUACAUAAGAUGGCUACCAUGGUCUAUGAAGUACAGGCAAAAAAGUGCCACCCGCCGUUGGCGCUCUCUUGUCGUGACGUACAGGCCAAGCAACGUGACUACAUGAGAAGGGUCAGCAUUAGCGGGAGCAGGGUAUGGAUGAGGAAGGAGCAGCAGUAUCUUCACUGCUGCUGCUGAUUCGUUUCCAUCCCUCUCUCACAUGUGAAGGUGAGCUUCAUAAUAGGGUAGCUAGACCUAUCCGCCUUCCGUUUUCUGAAUUUUGCUGGGACCUAGUUGUACCUAAAAGGAGGAAGCUGGCAACUCCGUUUACCUAAACUUGUAUAGCACGUGUCAUGCUACAAAAAAUUGUUGGAGCUGGAUGAGACUUUUUCCAUUCCCCUUGUAUUCCUUAAUAUAGCCAGUUCACAUUUUAAAAUCCUGUGAGGUUAGAUAUAUUACCUAAAAACGUUUAAAAGUAAAAUUCUGUAAGUUUAGUGCGUGCGCGCCUAAAAUUCUGAGCUUCUUGUCCAAUUAUACUAGUACUGAUGAAUACCGAGUUGAUUGAAAAAUGUAGUUGAUUCCUGAGACCCUUGCUAGUCCUUCUAUAUAUAGAAAAAAAUCAUUGUGAGAAGAGAAAAAUGUUUCUCUAGUUAGUUCCUCUUGCAGCUAUAUCAUGUACAAGCUCUUGUAGAUACAACAUGUAUAGGCUCUCGUUAUUAUAUGCCUAGAUCAGCACUUAUUGUUUAUGUAACUAAAUUAUGUGUAAUUUCUUCCUGUUCAAGCAUGUUUAUAUGCCUAGCUAUCCCAUGUGUUUCUGGUUGUUUUUUCUUGAAUAUAUAUUGACGGUCCAGGCCUCCCUCCAUCUCGCACCGCCCAGCGGCCUCACCCCACCUAUCAAAACAGUUGUUGCCAGAAUCUAGAUGAUAUUUAAUGUAGACACCAUAGUUUCACCCUAUUUUUUGGUUCUAAUUAUUGCUGCAUACCUCUUUAAAAGAAUGUUCCGUAAAUGUUUCCGAUCAUUGCUUGUAGGUAUUCAUGUGGAAUUUAAAAUAAUGACUAUUCUUGUAGGACGUUUGAAAGAUUAUCGUGGACCAAGUUCAAGAGAUUAGUUUUCGUGAGAAUAAAUGUGAUCUUUUGGGAUUUCGCAUGAUCCAUAGCCAUCGGUGGCAACUGGCAAGCAGUUCGAGGCCUCCUGCAUGAGUCGUCCAUCGUCUUCUAUGCGUGAGCUUGUUGUCUCUACACAUCUAAAAUCAGAGUAUCUCCUCCCCUUGCCGCGCACACAUGUCGGGCGGUUGAGCUACUAUUGUUUGUGAUUACUGGUCGUGACUCUUACGUUGUCAUUGGACAAAGAUUUUUUCUGUAACUCUAUAUUUGCAGGACAUUUAGCGAAAUGUUGUUGUGUUCUGAGUAUUCUGAUGUAGGCGAAAAUGGUGAACAUUUAAACAUUAGCCUGAAUUAAAUGAAACUGAGAAGCUUAAUUUCAGUAAAUGGGUGAACCUAGAUGCAACAAAGCUCUGCUAUUAGCCAUGGGGAUUAUCAGUUCAUGUGUAUUGUGUUCUUUUUGUUGGUUAAUGUAUUUUCUGGUUUGUCAGGUCGUGUGCAAGUUUGUUAUCAGUUCAUUUGUAUGUGUAUUGGUGAUCACUCCUAUUACUGCUAGCUAUCGAUCAGACUAUGGUAUUACUGCGUCUGCUUCAUGUAAUUAGCCCCUUUGUUGGGUGAAUCUCCUCCUACUUGCUAGCUUUGGAAUUGUAAAAACAUAAUAAGUUGACAAUUUAAAAAGUUGUAAGUUCAACACGACGUCUCAGAUAAGUUCUAGGAAAAAGGUCAAACGAAAAGAAAACCCAUGGAAAUUCAAAUGGUAA